rnacentral:rRNA from 1 species
CGGACAGUGUCUGGUGGGUAGUUUGACUGGGGCGGUCUCCUCCUAAAGAGUAACGGAGGAGCACGAAGGUUGGCUAAUCCUGGUCGGACAUCAGGAGGUUAGUGCAAUGGCAUAAGCCAGCUUGACUGCGAGCGUGACGGCGCGAGCAGGUGCGAAAGCAGGUCAUAGUGAUCCGGUGGUUCUGAAUGGAAGGGCCAUCGCUCAACGGAUAAAAGGUACUCCGGGGAUAACAGGCUGAUACCGCCCAAGAGUUCAUAUCGACGGCGGUGUUUGGCACCUCGAUGUCGGCUCAUCACAUCCUGGGGCUGAAGUAGGUCCCAAGGGUAUGGCUGUUCGCCAUUUAAAGUGGUACGCGAGCUGGGUUUAGAACGUCGUGAGACAGUUCGGUCCCUAUCUGCCGUGGGCGCUGGAGAAUUGAGGGGGGCUGCUCCUAGUACGAGAGGACCGGAGUGGACGCAUCACUGGUGUUCGGGUUGUCAUGCCAAUGGCACUGCCCGGUAGCUAAAUGCGGAAGAGAUAAGUGCUGAAAGCAUCUAAGCACGAAACUUGCCCCGAGAUGAGUUCUCCCUGAGACUUAGAGUCUCCUGAAGGAACGUUGAAGACGACGACGUUGAUAGGCCGGGUGUGUAAGCGCAGCGAUGCGUUGAGCUAACCGGUACUAAUGAACCGUGAGGCUUAACCUU